ensembl:snRNA U6 U6 spliceosomal RNA
GGGCUCGCUUCAGCAGCACAUAUGCUAAAACUGGAAUGAUAUGGAGAUCAGCAUGGCCUCUGCACAAGGAUGACAUUUCUCUGUGAAGCCUUCCAUAUUUAA